CAGUAUUAAAACAGAUAGAGCAGAGCGGAGAUAUGAGAAUGGAGUGCGGCUUCCUAAUCCUCGUGCUUGUGCUUGCGUUGCUAGGGACGCAGACAACACGAGUGUUGGGCGCCGUGGGGACAAGUAGCCGGCCGUAUGAACAAAGCAAUCUUGCCGUUCCGUCGGCGGCCAUGAUGGGCAGGUGCCCGAAGAAGUGUGGCAAUCUGAGCUUCGCCUACCCAUUCGGCAUGGGCACCGGCUGCUUCCGCAACCCCGACUUCAACCUGACCUGCGUCGUCGAAGGCAGCACGGGCACCUCCCGGCUCUUCUUGCGCGACGGCAUCACCGAGGUCGCUGCCGGCCAUUGGUUCCGGCAUCGAGGUCGGCUGGUCGCCGGAAAUAAGCAUCUCCUACACCGAAACCGUCCCUGUCCGCUCCGGCGUGGACGUCUACAACAUGUCCUCUUGGUCACCUCCCGGGCGAUCUUUCUUGCUAUUCGAUGCCAGCAUAAACGUCACGGGCUGCGGCUUCGACGUGUACAUGCUGGACCACGACUUGAACACGACCUCAAAGGUCUGCUCAACCACCUGCCCCGGCGGCGAGAUCACGGAGACGAUGGCCAUGCAGAACUGCAACGACACCUGGUGCUGCUCCGUCCGUUUUUUCUUUAACUUUAAUGGGUUUCAGUUCAGCUUUGUCCGGCGACGGGGCGAGGAAGGCAGGGUAAACUACACAAGUCCCUUGUGGAACAAGAUCAGCGUCACAACGGACGAUGCAAUCCUGCUGUGGUAUGUGGCCGAUCAGCAAAGAUGUGCCGACGCCGAGGCAGACGUGGCCACCUACGCCUGCCUCAGCAGCAACAGCAGCUGCACAGAUAACGAUUUUACAUAUAGCGGCUACCAAUGCUACUGCGACGGCGGGUAUGUAGGCAAUCCCUAUGUUCGCGGUGGUUGCUCGCGCGACAAAGGUAACCUUCUUUUUUUUUCCCUUAAUUUUGAACAAAUUUUCUCUCAUAACAAACUUUCGGUAAGUUUUACUGUGCACUUUGUAGAACAUCACCGGGAACAAUUAAUUAGUACUACCUCCGUCCGAAAAAACAACGGAGCCGCCACACCACCCCCAUCGCAACCCAACCCGUCCUCAUCGCACCCAUAGUUUGAGUCAUCGCACCACCGCUAUCAUGGGAGCAAGACCUCCUCGACUGGCGGGCACACCUCCAUGUUCCCGUGGCGGACGCCCGCAGGUUCGCAGGGAACUCCAGAGCCAACCCAUACUACCCCAACCUCCAGAGGCCGUGCUCUAGAACAGCACGAGAGCGGGUCCUGGUUUAUGUUUCUCACACUUGCAAAAAUUAUGUCUUUAAUUUGGCUGGUCAUAUUAUUAGAAAAAUGUCUUGUUAUAUUAUUAUUCUUAUUUGAAUUGGCUUGUUAUAUUAAACACAACGUGGCACAGUACAUUUCAUCCAAAACUUGUAAUUUUUCUUUGUGCAAAUAGGAUAUAAGCCAAAUCAACAAGUGACAAAUUGCACACGACGAUGUGGAAACAUUGACAUCCAAUUUCCUUUCGGCCUAGAAGAAGGCUGUUUUGCGAGGGAGGUAUUUCAGCUGAAUUGCACUAAUACGACAACCUCUACACUACAAAUGAAAGAUGAUGAUGAAAAUCAAGUGACGUACAUAAAUAUUGAGGAGGGGCUAGUGGAGAUUAAUUAUACGGCAGAUUAUUACAACCUGCGGUUUUCCGCGAAUUAUAUUGACGAGGAAUCUAACCUCUAUAUGAGUAGUUAUUGGCACACAUCAUCGGUUCAGUGGGCUGUCGCUAACCUAACUUGUCAAGAAGCACAGAUGGACAUGUCUAGGUAUGCAUGUGUCAGCAGCAAUAGCACAUGUCUGAUUGUCAACUCUACGAUGAAUGGUUUCUAUGGUUAUCGCUGCAAAUGUUCGCCAGGCUAUCAAGGAAAUCCGUACGUACAUACUGGUUGUCAGGAUAUUAAUGAGUGCACUAAUACAAGAGGUAUAUGUGAAGAGGUUUGUCAUAAUACUGUGGGGAGCUAUUAUUGCACCAAGUGUCCUCCAAAAAUGGACUAUGAUACUACAACAAUGCAAUGUACUUCAAUAAAAAGACAAAAUAUUUACAUAGGUAUUAUCAUUGGGUUGAGCAGUGGCUUCGGGGUUCUUUUUCUUAGCUUGAGUGGAGUUUUCAUUGUACACAAAUGGAAGAGCCACAUCCGAAGGCAGAUGCGGAGGAAAUAUUUUAGGAAAAACCAAGGUCUUCUUUUAGAACAACUUAUAUCGUCGGAUGAAAAUGCAAGUGACAAGACAAGAAUUUUCUCAGUGGAAGAGCUAGAGAAGGCAACAGACAACUUCCAUCAAACACGUAUCGUUGGCCGUGGAGGGCAUGGCAUGGUUUACAAAGGCAUACUAUCCGACCAAAGGGUAGUUGCCAUAAAGAAGUCUAAGGUCAUUGAGCAAGGUGAGAUCAAUCAAUUCAUCAAUGAGGUCGCCAUUCUCUCUCAGAUAAACCACCGAAACAUCGUAAAGCUUUUCGGAUGUUGUCUUGAAACAGAGGUACCUUUGUUAGUGUACGAUUUUAUCCCCAACGGAUCAUUGUAUGGUAUUCUUCAUUCUGAUUCCAACACUAGUUGUUUAUCUUGGGAUGACUGCAUAAGGAUUGCUUUGGAAGCUGCAGGAGCUCUCUCUUAUCUCCAUUCCGCAGCAUCAAUAUCAGUCUUCCAUCGUGAUGUGAAAUCAUCCAAUAUACUAUUGGAUGGAAACUACACAGCUAAGGUUGCUGAUUUUGGGGCUUCAAGGCUAGUUUCUAUUGACCAAACCCACAUUGUGACAAAUGUACAAGGCACGUUUGGGUACUUGGACCGAGAAUAUUACUACACUGGACAAUUAAAUGAGAAAAGUGAUGUCUACAGUUUUGGGGUUGUACUCAUUGAGCUACUUCUCAGGAGAGAGCCAAUAUUCACAAGUGAAUCCGGCUCGAAGCAAAACUUGUCAAACUAUUUCCUAUCGGGGUUAAAAGCAAGACCAGUUACAGAAAUAGUAGCUGCCCAAGUUCUUGAUGAAGCAACUGAGGAAGAGAUUAGCAGCGUAGCUUCCCUUGCAGAGAUGUGCUUGAGGCUCCGAGGUGAGGAUAGACCUACCAUGAAACACGUGGAGAUGGCUUUAAGGGUUCUGCAAACAGAAAGGUUAAAAUUGUGCCAUGUUGAUCCAGGGAAUGCACAAGAGAAGGAACCACUGCUAACUCCAGCAAGAGAAAAAGAUAGCUCUGAUCAGUUGGUUGCUUCUGAUUGUGUCAAUGCUAAUUUGGCAUCUGAAAACAUGAAACCGUGCUAUAGCUUUGAGCAAGAGUUCAUGUCAUAUGAUGGUGUUUCACGCCUCUGAUGAUCAUUCGUCCUUUAUGCAUCAAUAAACAAUGCACAUUUGUAAGGUCAAGCACCAUAUGUACCGAUGUAGUAGGUUGUGUAAGUUGUAUUUCUCAGGUCUGUUGUAAACUAGUAUACCAAACUUUGUGUGAUCCUGUCAGUCUAUUCUAUGUAGGUUGUCUAGCUUAGUUCUUGAGUGGCAAAAAAAAAACACAAUUUUUUUGAAAGAUGGCGAUUGUAAUGUAUCAGCACAUGCAAAAUGAGGCAUUAGACAAAGCAGGAUCCAUUCUGGUACACUAAUUAGCGUUAUAAUAAAUAUGAGAAAAGUAAAUAUUUCG
rnacentral:rRNA from 1 species